ACCAUCACUGUAUUAAAUUUUUGAUCCACUCUUAAAAUAUCGGAGUCGCUAAGUCUUUUCUCUGACUUCUUCCAAGGAUUAGAAAGGCUGUCACAUCAUUGGUUGUACCCUGUAAGAUAUAGAAAUCAUCAGUAAAAGCAAAGAAUUGCAGUUCUAGCAACAUUUAAAAUCUAAUAUUCAUGACUUGUUGGGUUCCAAGGCAAGGUUGCUAAUGCUUCUUUCUUUGAGAGUUCUUUCAACCACCUUUUGCUUUCUUCCAUCAUUACCACAGUUUAUGGCCUUGUGACCAUUGCAGAACUUUUCUAUUGCAGAUGCUAAGGCAUAAACUGCUAGACCACCAACAGAACUUCCAAGUUAACCUCGGUCCUUUGCUCUCCUCCUAAUCCUUCAACAAAACCUAGGUGAAAUCCUGGACUGGGUCUAUGGCCUUGCUCUCUGUCGAGGCAGUAUCGGCCUCCUACCAGAAAACACGCGUAUAGUGACGGAAAAUUAGUGACGGACCGUUAUCAGUUACUAUUUGUGACGGAUUAGUGACCGACAGAAAUUUGGUCACCGUGGUGUAAAC
rnacentral:lncRNA from 1 species